CGAGGAUACUGGUUAGUGGCUACA
rnacentral:siRNA from 1 species